rnacentral:rRNA from 1 species
CACGUAGGAGGCGAGCGUUGUCCGGAAUCAUUGGGCGUAAAGAGCGCGCAGGCGGCUUGGCAAGUCGGGUGUGAAAUCCCGGGGCUCAACCCCGGGACUGCAUUCGAUACUGUCAGGCUAGAGGUAGGUAGGGGAGAUCGGAAUUCCUGGUGUAGCGGUGAAAUGCGUAGAUAUUGGGAGGAACAUCAGUGGCGAAAGCGACUUCCUGGACCAAUACUGACGCUCAUGUGCGAAAGCGUGGGGAGCAAACAGG